UACAGAGGGUGCGAGCGUUAAUCGGAAUUACUGGGCGUAAAGCGUGCGUAGACGGUUAUUUAAGUCAGAUGUGAAAGCCCCGGGCUCAACCUGGGAAUUGCAUUUGAGACUGAACAGCUAGGGUGCGGUAGAGGGAAGCGGAAUUUCCGGUGUAGCGGUGAAAUGCGUAGAUAUCGGAAGGAACAUCAGUGGCGGAAGCGGCUUCCUGGACCAGUACCGACGUUCAGGCACGAAAGCGUGGGGAGCAAACAGG
rnacentral:rRNA from 1 species